AACGUAGGACGCAAGCGUUAUCCGGAGUUACUGGGCGUAAAGGGCGCGUAGGCGGCCACCGCAAGUCGGUUGUGAAAUCUCCGGGCUUAACCCGGAAAGGUCAACUGAUACUGCGGGGCUAGAGUGCAGAAGGGGCAACUGGAAUUCUCGGUGUAGCGGUGAAAUGCGUAGAUAUCGAGAGGAACACCUGCGGCGAAGGCGGGUUGCUGGGCUGACACUGACGCUGAGGCGCGAAAGCCAGGGGAGCGAACGGG
rnacentral:rRNA from 1 species